rnacentral:rRNA from 1 species
GCUUACGGCCACACCGCCUGGUUCACGCCCGAUCUCGUUUGAUCUGGAAGCUAAGAUAGGAUGGGCCUGGUUAGUACUUGGAUGGGAGACAGCCUGGGAAUACCAGGUGUUGUAAGAU